ACUCCUACGGGAGGCAGCAGUGGGAAUAUUGCACAAUGGGGGAAACCCUGAUGCAGCCAUGCCGCGUGUGUGAAGAAGGCCUUCGGGUUGUAAAGCACUUUCAGUAGGGAGGAAGGUAGUGUAGUUAACACCUGCAUCUUAAUUGACUGUACCUACAGAAGAAGCACCGGCUAACUCCGUGCCAGCAGCCGCGGUAAUACGGAGGGUGCGAGCGUUAAUCGGAAUUACUGGGCGUAAAGCGCAUGCAGGCGGCUUGUUAAGUCAGAUGUGAAAGCCCGGGGCUU
rnacentral:rRNA from 1 species